rnacentral:rRNA from 1 species
AGAACGAACGCUGGCGGCAGGCUUAACACAUGCAAGUCGAGCGCCUCGCAAGAGGAGCGGCAGACGGGUGAGUAACGCGUGGGAAUCUACCCAUCCUUACGGAACAACUCCGGGAAACUGGAGCUAAUACCGUAUACGCCCUUCGGGGAAAGAUUUAUCGAGGAUGGAUGAGCCCGCGUUGGAUUAGCUAGUUGGUGGGGUAAAGGCCUACCAAGGCGACGAUCCAUAGCUGGUCUGAGAGGAUGAUCAGCCACAUUGGGACUGAGACACGGCCCAAACUCCUACGGGAGGCAGCAGUGGGGAAUAUUGGACAAUGGGCGCAAGCCUGAUCCAGCCAUGCCGCGUGAGUGAUGAAGGCCCUAGGGUUGUAAAGCUCUUUCACCGGAGAAGAUAAUGACGGUAUCCGGAGAAGAAGCCCCGGCUAACUUCGUGCCAGCAGCCGC